rnacentral:lncRNA from 1 species
AAUUAAACCAUAAGAUAUCAAGAUUUGAUUCAAAUCAUAGAAAAUUAUAACAAAGCCUUUCCGAUAUUUCACUCAUUCAAUAAAGGUAUCAAACAACUAAGAAACAUCAACCCUUCUGCAUGGUAUAAGCACAAUUCUUUCAAAAAUGAGAAGCAUCCACUUCUUACUAAUCAUCCUGUCCCUUUUUCAUUCUGCAAAUUCAAAGUCUUUGCUUCAUUUGAGAAGCGGUGCUUCUAUAUCUGUUGAAAGCAAUACUUUUAUCACCUCCCCAGAUAAUUCUUUUACCUGUGGCUUUUAUGAAUUGGGAAGCAACGCUUAUUGGUUUGCAAUUUGGUUCACCAAUUCUAAAGAAAGAACCGUUGUCUGGACAGCCAACCGGGACAAUCCCGUUAACAGCCAGGGGUCAAGAGUAUCUAUUCGGAGAGAUGGAACCAUCGUCUUGACAGAUGUUGAUAGAAGCAUUGUAUGGCAAACAAAUAGACGCACCACUGAUGUUUCUGCAGCUGAGCUUCUUAAUACAGGUAACCUCGUUUUGAAGAACCCACGAGGCGAUAUUCUCUGGCAAAGCUUUGAUGUUCCUACUGAUACUCUUUUACCUUCUCAAAUAUUGACCAAGGACAAAAGAUUGAUAUCAUCCUUGAGAAAAGGAAGCUUUGAAUCUGGUUACUUCAAUUUGUAUUUUGGCAGUGACAACGUUUUAUCAUUGAUAUCUGAUAGCCCUCAAAUUUCUAGCCGCUACUGGCCAAAUCCUGAUUAUGACGUCUACACAAGUGGAAGAACCAACUACAAUGGUAGCAGAUUAGCAGUUUUAGAUGAUAUGGGCAUGCUUCAAUCAAGUGAUCAUUUUCAAGCCAAUGCUUCUGAUAAAGGAUUUGGGAUAAGAAGAAGGUUAACAAUAGACCAUGAUGGAAAUCUUAGAAUCUAUAGUUUGGUUAAUUCAACAGGGCUAUGGAUGAUAACAUGGCAAGCAAUUUCACAACCUUGUCAAGUACAUGGGGCAUGUGGAAGUAAUGGCAUAUGUUUUUAUACACUGGAACCCAAGUGUAUAUGCACACCUGGGUAUGAAGUGAAUGAUCCAAAUGACUGGAAUGCUGGUUGUAAGCCAACAUUCAACAAAACCCUCUUGAAUUCAGAAGUAAAAUUCCUGGAGCUUUCUCAGACUGAUUACUUUGGGUCUGAUCUGUAUUACAAGCCGAAUUUUACGUUAAAAGCUUGCCAGGAACUCUGUAGAAGAGAUUCCACUUGCAAGGGAUUUACCUACAGGACAUGGGGAAAUGGACAUUGCUAUGUUAAAAAUGAUCUUUUUAACGGUUUUCAGUCUCCAGAUUUUCCAGGAAGUGUAUACAUUAAACUCCCCAGGAGUGUGAAAGUAUCAAAACCAUCAAUUUUUAAUGGUUCCAGCACAACGUGUGAAUCUCGAGAAGUAGAAAUUCCUGUCAUGUAUGCCUUUGCCAGAAGAACAGUGAGAUGGGUGUAUCUCUACUCAUUUUGCGCUGCACUUGGAGCACUUGAAUUGAUAUUUAUUUUAUUAGGCUGGUGGUUUCUAUUAAUGAAAUAUUGUGUUCCAGCUGGAUAUCGCAUGAUAUCCAGCCAGUUCAGGAGGUUUAACUACGCCGAACUGAAGAAAAUCACCAAUAACUUCAGGGAAGAGCUAGGACGUGGAGGCUCGGGCACCGUUUAUAAGGGUUCUCUGGCAGAUGACAGACUGGUGGCAGUGAAGAGAAUGGGAGAUGUUUUUCAAGCAGAGGACGAGUUCUGGGCGGAGAUGAGAACCAUUGGAAAGAUCAAUCAUAUAAAUCUCGUGAGAAUGUGGGGAUUUUGUUCAGAAGGGAGACACCGUCUGUUAGUAUAUGAAUAUGUCGACAACAUGUCACUUGACAAACAUCUUUUCAACUCAAAUUUUCUAGGAUGGAAACAAAGAUAUGCAGUUGCAUUAGGUACGGCCAAAGGUUUGGCCUACCUCCACCAUGAAUGUCUAGAAUGGGUUAUCCAUUGUGAUGUGAAGCCAGAAAAUAUUCUUCUAGACAACGAAUUUCAACCCAAGAUUGCAGGUUUUGGGCUUGCAAAACUGUCAAGGAGAGAUGGCCUUGGUUCAGAAAUUACAAGAAUAAGAGGGACAAAAGGCUAUAUGGCUCCGGAUUGGGCACUGAACCACCCUAUCACUGCAAAAGUUGACGUCUAUGGAUAUGGAGUUGUAGUCCUGGAGAUCAUAAAGGGAGUUAAGCUCUCAAAUUGGGUGGUAGAUGAUGCUCAAGAUCAUGAAACUCCUCUUAAAAAUCUGAGCAGGACAGUGAAGGAAAAAGCUCAGUGUGGAAACUCAUCUUGGGUAGAGAGCAUAGUGGAUCCAAGAUUGGAAGGGAAGUUUAGCAGAAAACAGGCAGCAACACUGAUUCAAGUAGGGCUUUCUUGUGUAGAGGAAGACAGAAGCAAGCGGCUAACAAUGGCUUCAGUCGUCCAAAUGCUCAUGGAAUGCGACGAUGAAACAGAACUCAAAAUUAUAGACAAACUGGAAUUGAUAUAUUAGUCUUCCACUUUUUCAUUUCUGCAAAUGCUAUUAGAAUAGUGAGUCUUGGCAAAUAAGAAAAAUGAAGAGCUAUUCCAAGCUCUAAUCUGCUUUGUAUUUUUGAUUGAUAUUACAAGUCCUUAAAGUGAGAAUAUAUGCUUGUUGUUUUUAAGUAGGUGUGAGCCCUCAUACACAUUUACUGUCGAAUGAGAAGAAAGUACCUAUUCAAGUUGUUACUAUUCAAUACUAAAUUUUCAAUCUUAAUAUUUGAAAAGUUUAAAUUA